GCCAGGUGUGGUGGCUCACGCCUGUCAUCCCAGCUCUUUGGGAGGCUGAGGCGGGUGGAUCACUUGAGGCCAGGAGUUCAAGACAAGCCUGGCCAACAUGGUGAAACCCCGCCUCUA
rnacentral:SRP_RNA from 1 species